rnacentral:rRNA from 1 species
GAUGAACGCUGACAGAAUGCUUAACACAUGCAAGUCAACUUGAAUUUGGGUUUUUAACUUAGGUUUGGGUGGCGGACGGGUGAGUAACGCGUAAAGAACUUGCCUCACAGCUAGGGACAACAUUUGGAAACGAAUGCUAAUACCUAAUAUUAUGAUAAUAGGGCAUCCUAUAAUUAUGAAAGCUAUAAGCGCUGUGAGAGAGCUUUGCGUCCCAUUAGCUAGUUGGAGAGGUAACGGCUCACCAAGGCGAUGAUGGGUAGCCGGCCUGAGAGGGUGAUCGGCCACAAGGGGACUGAGACACGGCCCUUACUCCUACGGGAGGCAGCAGUGGGGAAUAUUGGACAAUGGACCGAGAGUCUGAUCCAGCAAUUCUGUGUGCACGAUGAAGUUUUUCGGAAUGUAAAGUGCUUUCAGUUGGGAAGAAAAAAAUGACGGUACCAACAGAAGAAGUGACGGCUAAAUACGUGCCAGCAGCCGCGGUAAUACGUAUGUCACGAGCGUUAUCCGGAUUUAUUGGGCGUAAAGCGCGUCUAGGUGGUUAUAUAAGUCUGAUGUGAAAAUGCAGGGCUCAACUCUGUAUUGCGUUGGAAACUGUAUAACUAGAGUACUGGAGAGGUAAGCGGAACUACAAGUGUAGAGGUGAAAUUCGUAGAUAUUUGUAGGAAUGCCGAUGGGGAAGCCAGCUUACUGGACAGAUACUGACGCUGAAGUGCGAAAGCGUGGGUAGCAAACAGG